rnacentral:rRNA from 1 species
AGCGAACGCCGGCGGCAGGCCUAACACAUGCAAGUCGAACGAAGUCUUCGGACUUAGUGGCGGACGGGCGAGUAACACGUGGGAACGUGCCUUUAGGUUCGGAAUAACUCAGGGAAACUUGCGCUAAUACCGAAUGUGCCCUUCGGGGGAAAGAUUUAUCGCCUUUAGAGCGGCCCGCGUCUGAUUAGCUGGUUGGUGAGGUAAUGGCUCACCAAGGCUACGAUCAGUAGCUGGUCUGAGAGGAUGACCAGCCACAUUGGGACUGAGACACGGCCCAAACUCCUACGGGAGGCAGCAGUGGGGAAUCUUGCGCAAUGGGCGAAAGCCUGACGUAGCCAUGCCGCGUGGAUGAUGAAGGUCUUAGGAUUGUAAAAUCCUUUCACCGGUGAAGAUAAUGACUGUAGCCGGAGAAGAAGCCCCGGCUAACUUCGUGCCAGCCGCCGCCGUAAAAC